rnacentral:rRNA from 1 species
CGCGAAGAACCUUACCUGGUCUUGACAUCCACGGAAGUUUUCAGAGAUGAGAAUGUGCCUUCGGGAACCGUGAGACAGGUGCUGCAUGGCUGUCGUCAGCUCGUGUUGUGAAAUGUUGGGUUAAGUCCCGCAACGAGCGCAACCCUUAUCCUUUGUUGCCAGCGGUCCGGCCGGGGACUCAAAGGAGACUGCCAGUGAUAAACUGGAGGAAGGUGGGGAUGACGUCAAGUCAUCAUGGCCCUUACGACCAGGGCUACACACGUGCUACAAUGGCGCAUACAAAGAGAAGCGACCUCGCGAGAGCAAGCGGACCUCAUAAAGUGCGUCGUAGUCCGGAUUGGAGUCUGCAACUCGACUCCAUGAAGUCGGAAUCGCUAGUAAUCGUGGAUCAGAAUGCCACGGUGAAUACGUUCCCGGGUCUUGUACACACC